AUGAUCGGAUCACUGAGUAACUAAUAGAUAUACGGUCACUUCCUGUGUGGAUUAGCCGACAAACUCAAUGAUAAUUGCUCCGACUUUUGAAUCUAUAAAUAGAAUAACAAAAGGAAGGAAACGAAAUUUUAAACUGAUUUCCGCCAUUACAAAAAUAACAUGAAACCUACAGUUCACGACACAUCGCAUAGGAAUUUAAAAUAAAUAUUAGGCCUAUAGGUUUAAUACAUAUUUCUUAGAAUAUAGAAAUUUAGAUCUAGUGUUCUGGUUAGUAGUUAUUUCAUGUUUAUUAGAAUAUAGUCUAGAUUCUAGAAUCUAAUCAUACGGCUGCAUAAAAAGAAAACCCAUCUAGAUCUAGAGAAGCGGAGUGUUUUCCGCACUCAAGAGGAAGGAGGUUGCAGGGAACUUAGAGACUAAUCUUUGCCAACAUACUGGAUUUCUGGUGAUGACAAUAGGAGCAAAUAGUAUGCGGCUCAGUUAAUACUAAAAACAAUUGAUUUUAGUAAUAAGUGGACUAUGAGUGUGUGUUUGGCCAUCCAGAUUUCAUAACUACAACUGAUGUUCAAUUACAAGGGAUAUUAAUCAGUCUCCGUGGACUAUACACUGUGCCUAGUUUCAUCCUCAGAGACUGAUGUGUAAGCUUAAAGUAAAGACAUCAAAUCAAAGUAUCAGCUAUCAAGAGGAAGAACAUUCAAAAUCAUAUUGUGAUACACAAAUCAAGCAAGUCUAUAACCAGCAAUAUGAUACAGGCCAAGAAAAAGCUGGAUAUUUGAUUGGAAGGGUGGCACAAAAAAGAUGGGUUAUCACUAGGGAAACAAGCUCGGAAUACAGUUCACUGUUGGGACAUCAAGCCAAAUACUUCUAAACUUAUUUGAAUCAUUUUUGCUGUUUAUUAUAAUUCAUCCAAUUGUCUUAUUAAAUAUAUAAAUUUAUAUAUAUACACAAUUCCUAAUAUAGAAUUUCUAAAAAUGUUUUAUUAUAAUAUUUAAAAAUGAAACAAACAUGUUCCCAGAACACAGCCACAUAAUUUCAACAUGUUCCCAGAACACACAAAAUGGCAACAUGUUCCCAGAACACACAAAAUGGUAACAUGUUCCCAGAACACAGCCAAAUAAUGGCAACAUGUUCCCAGAACACAGCCAAACAAUGUCAACAUGUUCCAUGAACUCACAAAAUAGCAACAUGUUCCCAGAACACACAAAAUGUCAUUAUGUGCCCAGAACACACAAAAUGGCUACAUGUUCCCAGAACACACAAAAUGGCAACAUGUGCCGAGAACACAAAAAAUGACAACAUGUGCCGUUAACAAUACUUCACUUUUUCCUUAACAAUUUUACAAGCAGGUAAUAAAGCCAUAAAUCUUUACUGUGGAUAUAGCCAAUAAAUAGGGUAACCUUCAC